ACAUUUAUUCAAAAUAAAAUAAAAUAAAAUAUUUUUUUUCUUUAUAUUAUUACUCAAUAUUAAUUUCUGAACCUUAUGAUAUUUUUAUUAUAUUUUUCUCUAUAUUUUUUUAUAACCAAAUUACACUGGAAUCUAAUAUUUUCUGUACUAAAACCCAAUCAAAAAAAAAAAAAAAAAAACCAUGGAUUUGCUCCCCAGGGUUUCUCACUUUCCACCUUCAUUCUUAUGUAUCAAAACAUGGUGGGCAUGCUGAUGCCAUACCACCAGGUGUUCAACUUCUUUUUUUUUUUAAAUUCUUUUCAUUUUCUUUUAUCUUCUUUUACUCUUCCUCAUUUUGCCCAUAAAUUGAGCCUAAGUUUUCCUCACCUCUCUUCACUUCCAGUUUCAUCUCUCUCGGUUCCCUCUCCUCAACCCUCUCAUUCUCAAAACUCUCUUUCUCCUUCCUUAUCUAUGUUUCUUUCCUCCUCCCCCCGACCUCCAUAGCCAUGGCCUCAACCCAUACUAUCACCAUCCAAACCACCAACCCGCGAACUUCACCACCAUUGGCACACCGUCGGACCGCCACCACCACCAUCACCUAUUUCCAUUAUCAUCUAAAACCACUAUUCACAAAGUGUUGUAGGUGAAGAAAGAGAAGAAGAAGGAAGAUGGAGGAGAAAGAAACAAAGUUAGAGAAGUUUAUUUUGAAGUUCAAAAGUUGGUUUGCGGCUUACUUUCGGCAUGCCAAAACCAUCCAUUCCGGGAAGAAGUGGGACAAAUAGGCCAUGUAAGAUGAAGUACGAAGUAAGUUGAAGAGAUUGGCAAAAGAAUAAAGUAAAACCGUUAAAAAUUAAGAAAGUUAUGGGGUCCGAAAGAUGGUUCGAAAAAAAUGUCCGAGACGGUAGGAAAAUAAUCUUAUUUUUCGUCAAAUUUUGGAGAUCCGACGGCAUGCAAAAAGAGACGGAACGAGGCGUGUGAGUAGUGAACCAAAAACUAGGCCGUGAGGUGAAUCCAAUGACAGAAAAAUAAGAUAAAACGGAGUUAUGAUGAAAAAGAUACAAGCAUUUGAACUGGUGACAUUGAAACUAAAAUUCUGGGUCUUCUGUUCGUGCAUGCUAUGGCUGUUGGACAAGAUGAAUUGAAUAUUAUCCAGCGUUUCUCGGCCCAUGGUGCUACGAUGCAUCAUAGUACCUUUAGGUUAAUCGAGUGGUCCUAUGACUUUGGGGAUGACCACCCUUAGGUUUUUCGACGUGUAGAAUCUAUUUUUGGGGUUAGAUCUUUCAAAUUCUAAGUCUAAGAUGAUGAUCAACAACUAAGAGUUCCAAGAGAAUUCAAUGAAAGAUCAACGGUGAGAUCGUGUCCGAUUAAUGUGAAAUUUCAGCAAGGCAAUCAUGGAGCCAGGACGGUCAUAUCUUACGAUCAGAAUCAUAAAUCAAAUUCGGACGAUAAAUCGCUAGCAACCUAACAUAAUGACUUUAUUGCGUGGACUUCCAGAGAUAUUUUGGUGUAUGGAGAAGAAAUUGUACUUUUGUAUAGAAGUAAUAUAAUACUUUUGUCGUCUCCCGCUUUUAUGCAGUUAACUAUUAUUGAUACAGAAAACUUUUGGCAGCCAACAGAUAAUUACUGGCAUGGUAGAUAUGUCACAUUUUGUCGUCGUACAGAUAUAUGAUUUUUUGUCGUGGUACAUAUAUGUACUUUUGGCUUAAUAAAUACAUCACCUUUUGUCGUGGUACAACUUACGAUGGGAAUUUGUACCAUGCCAAAUGGUCAUUUCACAUGGUAUAGUAAAUGUAAUUUUUGAAUAUGGAGGGCUUUACUUUUUGUAUGAUUCUAUA